UGGCAGGAUCCCAUGCCCUGGGAUCAAAUGUCGGACACAGAGGUCAGAGGUCACAUGGUACAAGGAUGCCAGGCCUGUGUGUGAGAUACAGGAUAAGAGGACUAUCUCUGUGGUAGACAGGUAUACUCUUCUGCUGGGUACUGUCUAUGUGAGUGAUGCUACAGUGUAUUUCUGUGACUACACCUACGAAGACAACGGGAUCCCCUGGACAGUCAGGAGAUCUGUUAACGUCUCGGUCAUACCCGCUGACACCAAAGACCCUCCACAGAUUACUUAUCCCCAUGGCAACGAGGAGGGCGUGGAGCUGGGUGAG